GAAACAAACUGCUGUCUGGAAAGCUUUUUGGACGCCAAACAAACUGAGAUGGUUGUGCUCUGAGGAACAUAAAGCAGUCUGAAGCAAACAGUCGCACACAGACGCAACAACUACAGUAUCUUCAGGAUGCAAAGCCAUACAGGCGCUGUCAGUUCCCUUCUACUGGGGGGCAAGAAAACCUCCCUUUGAGCUGUGGUGACAGGGUUACAUAGGAGGGUUUGGUUGCUCUUCAGUUCAGAAGCCAUCACUGCCAGCACCUGCAACUUGCUGCUCUGCACCUUCUGCUCUGACCACUGGUGACAGAAGUCACUCCUUCCUUCUCUUGCUCUUAAGAUCCCUCUUAAGUGCUGCAGGGUAACACCUGCUUGGCUGCCACAGAGGUGUCUGGGUCUCCUGGUGCCUUUAUGGAUACUCACCACUCAUGCAGGGUCUUCAGGGAGAAGAUGAAGAAAUC
rnacentral:antisense_RNA from 1 species